UGGGGACCCAGCACAGGUGCCCGCCCAGAGCAGGAGCACAGAUGUACCAGCGGGCGCACAUGUGUGCAUGCAUGCAUGCAAGUAUGGGUGUGCACAUGUGUGCAUGUGCCUGGAGGAGGGGUUCCAGUGGGAGAAGGCCAGCAGACCCCUCCCCACGAAGGGCCUUCAAUACCAGGUUACCAUGCACGACCUUCCCCCCAGGGCGCUGGGUGCCCUGAAUGAGAGGUAAGCUCAUGCGACCUGGGGCCCUCCCUCCAGCUGCCAGUGCUGACCUGGCCGGAGGCAGCCAAGCGUGGAGCUGGGAGCCACUCGGAAGCCACUGCAGUCUCUGGGGAGAGAGGCGGCCUAGCCAGGCGGGAGCAGCGGGCACAGGGAGGAGGGUGAGGCGGCCUCCAGGGUGACGGGCGGGGGCCUGUUUUCCACAUGACCUGUCACCCCUGAAGCGCUGGGUCCCAGCUCCUUUGCUGGGAAGUGUGGCCGGGCCGCAUCAACGAAACCGCACAGCGCCCCCAUCAGACACCAUGGGCUCCGAUGCCCCACAGCGGGGGCUCCCAGGGCAGGGGGAUUUGAGUCCCUCCUGCCCCCAGAGGUGGCCUGCAGGCUCUGGAGGGAGUGCCGCUCCCCAGACUCCCAGAGCUGCCCGGGGCUGUGAACUUGAUGGAAAAACAAGGACAGCUUUGUGUUCGAUGACUCACCGACCUCUGAGGGCCAGUUCGCUUCCCUCCGGCAAAGAAUGCAGUCAACAAACCCGGCCGAAGGCGCCGUCCCCAAGGCUUGUUCCAGAAGACCUGCUCAGGUCACACCCAGGGCUGCUGACGCCCCGAAAUAUCCUCUCCACUCAUCGCUGCUCCGAAAGCCCGGGCAGCAUAGACCCACCCGCGUGAGAUCUGCUUAUUAGUGAGUUAACACAGACGGGCACGGGUUACACUCGCACGUUUUAAAGGCGCCUGAGAGUUGCAUUCAGUACAGUUGGCUUCCUUCAUAAUCUUAAAGACAUUACGCUGAGAAAGCGUCCCGGCUUCCCUGGAUGCCGGAAGGGGGCCUAG
rnacentral:lncRNA from 1 species